UUGGAGGGCAAGUCUGGUGCCAGCAGCCGCGGUAAUUCCAGCUCCAAUAGCGUAUAUUAAAGUUGUUGCAGUUAAAAAGCUCGUAGUUGAAUUUCGGGGUCAGUAGGUUGGUCGUGCCAAUGGUGUGUACUGGCUUUACUGAUUCCUCCUUCUUGAAGAACUGUAAUGUCAUUAAUUUGGUGUUGCAGGGAAACAGGACUGUUACUUUGAAAAAAUUAGAGUGUUUAAAGCAGGCUAACGCUUGAAUACAUUAGCAUGGAAUAAUGAAAUAGGACGUUCGAUCCUAUUUUGUUGGUUUCUAGGAUUGACGUAAUGAUUAAUAGGGAUAGUUGGGGGCAUUAGUAUUCAAUUGUCAGAGGUGAAAUUCUUGGAUUUAUUGAAGACUAACUACUGCGAAAGCAUUUGCCAAGGAUGUUUUCAUUAAUCAAGAACGAAAGUUAGGGGAUCGAAGACGAUCAGAUACCGUCGUAGUCUUAACCAUAAACUAUGCCGACUAGGGAUCGGAUGAUGUUAAUUUUUUAAUGACUCAUUCGGCGCCUUACGGGAAAC
rnacentral:rRNA from 1 species